rnacentral:rRNA from 1 species
UACGGAGGAUCCAAGCGUUAUCCGGAUUUAUUGGGUUUAAAGGGUGCGUAGGCGGAUUAUUAAGUCAGUGUUGAAAGGCUAAAGCUUAACUUUAGAAGUGGCAUUGAUACUGGUAGUCUUGAGUACAGAUGAAGUGGGCGGAAUGUGUCAUGUAGCGGUGAAAUGCAUAGAUAUGACACAGAACACCGAUUGCGAAGGCAGCUCACUAAGUUGUAACUGACGCUGAGGCACGAAAGCGUGGGGAUCAAAC